UGGGGAAUUUUGGACAAUGGGCGCAAGCCUGAUCCAGCCAUACCGCGUGAGUGAAGAAGGCCUUCGGGUUGUAAAGCUCUUUCAGACGGAAAGAAACGGUUACGGCUAAUACCCGUGACUAAUGACGGUACCGUAAGAAGAAGCACCGGCUAACUACGUGCCAGCAGCCGCGGUAAUACGUAGGGUGCGAGCGUUAAUCGGAAUUACUGGGCGUAAAGCGUGCGCAGGCGGUUUGGUAAGACAGAUGUGAAAUCCCCGGGCUUAACCUGGGAACUGCAUUUGUGACUGCCAGACUAGAGUGUAGCAGAGGGGGGUAGAAUUCCACGUGUAGCAGUGAAAUGCGUAGAUAUGUGGAGGAAUACCGAUGGCGAAGGCAGCCCCCUGGGCUAACACUGACGCUCAUGCACGAAAGCGUGGGGAGCAAACAGGAUUAGAUACCCCAGUAGUCCCUGAGCGGGCUGGCAAGGCGCAU
rnacentral:rRNA from 1 species